rnacentral:rRNA from 1 species
GGCGAAGGCGGCCCCCUGGACAAAGACUGACGCUCAGGUGCGAAAGCGUGGGGAGCAAACAGGAUUAGAUACCCUGGUAGUCCACGCCGUAAACGAUGUCUACUUGGAGGUUGUGCCCUUGAGGCGUGGCUUCCGGAGCUAACGCGUUAAGUAGACCGCCUGGGGAGUACGGCCGCAAGGUUAAAACUCAAAUGAAUUGACGGGGGCCCGCACAAGCGGUGGAGCAUGUGGUUUAAUUCGAUGCAACGCGAAGAACCUUACCUGGUCUUGACAUCCACAGAACUUUCCAGAGAUGGAUUGGUGCCUUCGGGAACUGUGAGACAGGUGCUGCAUGGCUGUCGUCAGCUCGUGUUGUGAAAUGUUGGGUUAAGUCCCGCAACGAGCGCAAC